rnacentral:ribozyme from 1 species
UGAUUCCUGCCUUUCUCCGCUUUUCUUUUCUUUUCUUUUUUUUUUUCUUUUUUUUUUGGUUAGUUUGUUUGUUUUUUCUG